AGAGACAGCAGUAGCCGCGGUAAUACGUAGGUGGCAAGCGUUGUCCGGAAUUAUUGGGCGUAAAGCGCGCGCAGGCGGAUCGGUCAGUCUGUCUUAAAAGUUCGGGGCUUAACCCCGUGAUGGGAUGGAAACUGCCAAUCUAGAGUAUCGGAGAGGAAAGUGGAAUUCCUAGUGUAGCGGUGAAAUGCGUAGAUAUUAGGAAGAACACCAGUGGCGAAGGCGACUUUCUGGACGAAAACUGACGCUGAGGCGCGAAAGCGUGGGGAGCAAACAGGAUUAGAGACCCCCGUAGUCCCUGUCUCUUAUACA
rnacentral:rRNA from 1 species